AACGAACGCUGGCGGCAGGCCUAACACAUGCAAGUCGAACGCCCGUAGCAAUACGGGAGUGGCAGACGGGUGAGUAACGCGUGGGAACGUGCCCUUCGGUUCGGAAUAACUCAGGGAAACUUGAGCUAAUACCGGAUACGUCCGUAAGGAGAAAGAUUUAUCGCCGAAGGAUCGGCCCGCGUCGGAUUAGCUAGUUGGUGAGGUAACGGCCCACCAAGGCGACGAUCCGUAGCUGGUCUGAGAGGAUGAUCAGCCACACUGGGACUGAGACACGGCCCAGACUCCUACGGAGGCAGCAGUGGGAAUAUUGGACAAUGGGCGAAAGCCUGAUCCAGCCAUGCCGCGUGAGUGAAGAAGGCCUUAGGGCUGUAAAGCUCUUUCAGC
rnacentral:rRNA from 1 species